UUUUUUUCACAGAACGAUCAAUGCUUAUGCUACUGGUCAAAGGAAGCGUCGCAAGGUCCACAAUGGGCAAGGUUCAAAUGAGGAUCAUGUCCGCUGGCACAAGACAGGCAAGACUAAAUCUGUGAUGGAAAAUGGAGUACAGAAAGGCUGCAAGAAAAUCAUGGUUCUUUAUAAAAGCGCAAAGAAGGGGUCCAAGCCUGAUAAAUCCAAUUGGGUAAUGCAUCAAUAUCAUCUGGGCACUGAUGAAGAUGAAAAAGACGGUGAAUAUGUGGUUUCCAAAAUUUUCUACCAACAGCCGAAGCAAACUGACAUGAAUGAUGAUGGUCUUACUGUUGAAGAUUCUGAUAUUUUGGCACUUCAUGCUAGUCCAAGGACCCCCAUUACAAAUCCUCCCAAUCCACCACGGCAUAAGAAAUCUGAUACAUUUGAUGAUGCUGCUGAUGAAAUGGUAUUUCAGUUCUCUGUCCGGGAAGAAGACAUUAUUAAAAGAGCACCCGAUGUCCCUGCACCUAGUGUUCAUCCUGAGGAUGAUGUGGGAUGCCAUGCAUGGUUGGCUGGCGAAUCUCAGGCUGUGGAAAACCCUGAUUUUAGUGGCAUCAAUGAUUCUUUGUUGUGCGAAGAAAUUUUUGAUUCUUCUUCGCUUUUCCUUAAUGGUUCAGCACUAAAUAACGUCUCAUACAGUGGCAUUGCUCACAGUACAAAUCAAGUGACUGGAAAUAAUGAUAAUAAUAAGAAUAACAAUAAUGCACCUUGUGGAAUUGCUGACCUCGA
rnacentral:misc_RNA from 1 species